rnacentral:rRNA from 1 species
UAUGGAGGGUGCAAGCGUUAUCCGGAUUCACUGGGUUUAAAGGGUGCGUAGGCGGGCAGGUAAGUCCGUGGUGAAAUCUCUGAGCUUAACUCAGAAACUGCCAUGGAUACUAUUUGUCUUGAAUGUUGUGGAGGUAAGCGGAAUAUGUCAUGUAGCGGUGAAAUGCUUAGAUAUGACAUAGAACACCAAUUGCGAAGGCAGCUUACUACACAAAUAUUGACGCUGAGGCACGAAAGCGUGGGGAUCAAACAGG